rnacentral:rRNA from 1 species
AAACUUUCMACAAUGGAUCUCUUGGCUCUCGCAUCSAUGAARAACGCMRCGAAAUGCGAUAGGUAAUAUGAAUUGCAGAAUUCCGUGAAUCAUCMAAUUUUUGAACGCAAAUUGCACUUCUUGGUAUUCCGAGGAGUACACAUGCUUGAGGGUCAGUUA